UGAAGGCCGCGCCUCCGGCUGGCCUAGGUAGGAUCCGUCGACCCGUCGGCGGCGCACUACCGGCCCGUUCCGUCAGCAGCGUCUGUGGAGCGGAGCAAGAGCGUACACGUUGGGACCCGAAAGAUGGUGAACUAUGCCUGAGUAGGAUGAAGCCAGAGGAAACUCUGGUGGAGGUCCGUAGCGAUUCUGACGUGCAAAUCGAUCGUCAAACUUGGGUAUAGGGGCGAAAGACUAAUCGAACCAUCUAGUAGCUGGUUCCCUCCGAAGUUUCCCUCAGGAUAGCUGGCACUGGUUACGCAGUUUUAUCCGGUAAAGCGAAUGAUUGGAGCGUUUUGGGGACGAAACGACCUCAACCUACUCUCAAACUUUAAAUGGGUAAGAAGUCCGUCUCGCUCG
rnacentral:rRNA from 1 species